UACGGAGGGUGCAAACGUUGCUCGGAAUCAUUGGGCGUAAGCGCACGUAGGCGGCUCGUUAAGUCGGAUGUGAAAGCCCCGGGCUCAACCCGGGAAGUGCAUUCGAAACUGGCGAGCUUGAAUAUGGAAGAGGGUCGCGGAAUUCCCGGUGUAGAGGUGAAAUUCGUAGAUAUCGGGAGGAACACCAGUGGCGAAGGCGGCGACCUGGGCCAAUAUUGACGCUGAGGUGCGAAAGCGUGGGGAGCAAACAGG
rnacentral:rRNA from 1 species